GACCCAGCGGUGUAAUGGUAUCACGCCCGCACAAUAUAGGGUAGGGUCAAGCAGAUUCUGCGGGGGUUUCCUGUUCGAUUCGGGCUGGGUCA